rnacentral:misc_RNA from 1 species
UUUCUUUUUUUUUUUUUUUUUAGUAUGUGUGUUUUCUUUUUUAGCCUAUUUCAUAAGCACUCUCAGACAAUAUUAUUUAGUCAAAUUUUCAUUUUUGAGAUUAUAUAUCAGCAUGGGAAAAGAAUCUUGUAUCCUCAGAGUCUUCUCUGUGUAUUCCAUGGGGACUUGAUUUUCAUGUAUUUCUGUCCUCUCUCUCUCUCUCUCUCU